UCGGCCGCCAUUUCUCUUCAAAUAACAAAAGCAAAUAAUAAAAAAAAACAAGAAGAGCUAAAACCAGCAACAGUCUGCAAUAAAAUGCUUCUAUUUAAUAACAGUUCUCAAUCUUCAUCAACAGUAUAACAAAAAAUCUGCUAAGAUUCCCAUUUGAAAAUAGCAAAAGGCACUAACUUUAACGACCACAAAGAUAUCUGAGAAUUUUUACCUUUGCAUCCCCAGCUUCAGGAGCUCAUCGAUGGCGGAAUCCAAAUUG
rnacentral:misc_RNA from 1 species